AGCAGCCGCGGUAAUUCCAGCUCCAAUAGCGUAUAUUAAAGUUGUUGCAGUUAAAAGCUCGUAGUUGAAUUUCGGGAUCAAAUUGUCGGUCGUGCUUCGGUACGCACUGGUAUUAUUGGUUCCUACCUUCUGAAGAACCGCGAUGUCAUUAAUUUGGUGUCGUGGGGAAUCAGGACUGUUACUUUGAAAAAAUUAGAGUGUUUAAAGCAGGCUUACGCUUGAAUACAUUAGCAUGGAAUAAUGAAAUAGGACGUUUGAUUCUAUUUUGUUGGUUUCUAGGAUUGACGUAAUGAUUAAUAGGGAUAGUUGGGGGCAUUAGUAUUCAAUUGUCAGAGGUGAAAUUCUUGGAUUUAUUGAAGACUAACUACUGCGAAAGCAUUUGCCAAGGAUGUUUUCAUUAAUCAAGAACGAAAGUUAGGGAUCGAAGACGAUCAGAUACCGUCGUAGUCUUAACCAUAAACUAUGCCGACUAGGGAUCGGAUGAUGUUAAUUUUUAUGUACUCAUUCGGCGCCUUACGGG
rnacentral:rRNA from 1 species